AGCGAACGCUGGCGGCAGGCCUAACACAUGCAAGUCGAACGAACCUUUCGGGGUUAGUGGCGGACGGGUGAGGAACACGUGGGAACGUGCCUUUAGGUUCGGAAUAACUCAGGGAAACUUGUGCUAAUACCGAAUGUGCCCUUCGGGGGAAAGAUUAAUCGCCUUUAGAGCGGCCCGCGUCUGAUUAGCUAGUUGGUUGAGGUAAUGGCUCACCAAGGCGACGAUCAGUAGCUGGUCUGAGAGGAUGCUCAGCCACAUUGGGACUGAGACACGGCCCAAACUCCUACGGGAGGCAGCAGUGGGGAAUCUUGCGCAAUGGGCGAAAGCCUGACGCAGCCAUGCCGCGUGAAUGAUGAAGGUCUUAGGAUUGUAAAAUUCUUUCACCGGGGACGAUAAUGACGGUACCCGGAGAAGAAGCCCCGGCUAACUUCGUG
rnacentral:rRNA from 1 species